AAACUCAAAGGAAUUGACGGGGANCCGCACGAGCGGUGGAUUAUGUGGAUUAAUUCGAUGCAACGCGAAAAACCUUACCUACCCUUGACAUGCUAGGAAGCUCGCAGAGAUGUGAGUGUACCCGAAAGGGAACCUAGACACAGGUGCUGCAUGGCUGUCGUCAGCUCGUGUCGUGAGAUGUUGGGUUAAGUCCCGCAACGAGCGCAACCCUUGUCAUUAGUUGCUACAUUUAGUUGGGCACUCUAAUGAGACUGCCGGUGACAAACCGGAGGAAGGUGGGGAUGACGUCAAGUCCUCAUGGCCCUUAUGGGUAGGGCUACACACGUCAUACAAUGGCGCAUACAGAGGGCUGCCAACCCGCGAGGGGGAGCAAAUCCCAGAAAGUGCGUCGUAGUCCGGAUUGUAGUCUGCAACUCGACUACAUGAAGUCGGAAUCGCUAGUAAUCGCGGAUCAGCAUGUCGCGGUGAAUACGUUCCCGGGCCUUGUACACACCGCCCGUCACACCAUGGGAGUGGGUUUCACCAGAAGCAGGUAGCGUAACCGCAAGGAGCGCGCUUACCACGGUGAGAUUCAUGACUGGGGUGAAGUCGUAACAA
rnacentral:rRNA from 1 species